ACACACCGCCCGUCAAACCACGAAAGUUGGCAAUACCCAAAGCCGGUGGCCUAACUUGAGCAAUCAAGAAGGAGCCGUCUAAGGUAGGGUUGAUGAUUGGGGUUAAGUCGUAACAAGGUAUCCCUACCGGAAGGUGGGGAUGGAUCACCUCCUUU
rnacentral:rRNA from 1 species